ACGUAGGGUGCGAGCGUUAAUCGGAAUUACUGGGCGUAAAGCGUGCGCAGGCGGUGAUGUAAGACAGAUGUGAAAUCCCCGGGCUCAACCUGGGACCUGCAUUUGUGACUGCAUCGCUAGAGUACGGUAGAGGGGGAUGGAAUUCCGCGUGUAGCAGUGAAAUGCGUAGAUAUGCGGAGGAACACCGAUGGCGAAGGCAAUCCCCUGGACCUGUACUGACGCUCAUGCACGAAAGCGUGGGGAGCAAACAGGAUUAGAUACCCUGGUAGUCCACGCCCUAAACGAUGUCAACUGGUUGUUGGGUCUUUGCUGACUCAGUAACGAAGCUAACGCGUGAAGUUGACCGCCUGGGGAGUACGGCCGCAAGGUUG
rnacentral:rRNA from 1 species